GUAGGUGGCAAGCGUUGUCCGGAAUUAUUGGGGCGUAAAGCGCGCGCAGGCGGUCCUUUAAGGUCUGAUGUGAAAGCCCACGGGCUCAACCGUGGAGGGUCAUUGGAAACUGGGGGACUUGAGUACAGAAGAGGAAAGCGGAAUUCCACGUGUAGCGGUGAAAUGCGUAGAGAUGUGGAGGAACACCAGUGGCGAAGGCGACUUUCUGGUCUGUAACUGACGCUGAGGCGCGAAAGCGUGGGGAGCAAACAGGAUUAGAUACCCUGGUAGUCCACGCCGUAAACGAUGAGUGCUAAGUGUUAGGGGGUUUCCGCCCCUUAGUGCUGCAGCUAACGCAUUAAGCACUCCGCCUGGGGAGUACGGCCGCAAAGGCUGA
rnacentral:rRNA from 1 species